rnacentral:rRNA from 1 species
GACGAACGCUGGCGGCGUGCUUAACACAUGCAAGUCGAACGUGAUUUUUGUGGAAAUUCUUUCGGGAAUGGAAAUGAAAUGAAAGUGGCGAACGGGUGAGUAACACGUGAGCAACCUACCUUACACAGGGGGAUAGCCGUUGGAGACGACGAUUAAUACCGCAUGAGACCACAGAAUCGCAUGAUAUAGGGGUCAAAGAUUUAUCGGCGUAAGAAGGGCUCGCGUCUGAUUAGCUAGUUGGAAGGGUAAAGGCCUACCAAGGCGACGAUCAGUAGCCGGUCUGAGAGGAUGAACGGCCACAUUGGAACUGAGACACGGUCCAAACUCCUACGGGAGGCAGCAGUGGGGAAUAUUGCACAAUGGGGGGAACCCUGAUGCAGCGACGCCGCGUGAGCGAAGAAGGUUUUCGAAUCGUAAAGCUCUGUCCUAUGAGAAGAUAAUGACGGUAUCAUAGGAGGAAGCCCCGGCUAAAUACGUGCCAGCAGCCGCGGUAAUACGUAUGGGGCGAGCGUUGUCCGGAAUUAUUGGGCGUAAAGGGUACGUAGGCGGUUUUUUAAGUCAGGUGUGAAAGCGUGGGGCUUAACCUCAUUAAGCACUUGAAACUGGAAGACUUGAGUGAAGGAGAGGAAAGUGGAAUUCCUAGUGUAGCGGUGAAAUGCGUAGAUAUUAGGAGGAAUACCGGUGGCGAAGGCGACUUUCUGGACUUUUACUGACGCUCAGGUACGAAAGCGUGGGGAGCAAACAGG